rnacentral:rRNA from 1 species
CCCUAUUAUUAGGAUAAAAGAGAUAAUUAGAGAGUAGGUUCGCACUGAAAACAAUUUAGGGUGGCGGUUUUCUUUAUUCUCAGAUAAAUGUGUUUUUUGAAAACGAAACUGCACGAAAAUCUUUCUUACUCUUGAAAAUUCAUCCUGUACACCGCCGUCUGAAGGGUCAAUUUAGACAAUUAAUCCUACUUCUUAACGAGAAGUAAGUCAGGUUAGGUGCAGACUAUGGGUAAGGGAAAAUGCAUUUCUCUAAAAUGCUCAAAAAGAGAGUUGAAAAGUAUCUUUAAGAAGAAUUUGACAGUAAGAUUUUUUAAUCAUAAGAAUCUGAACUUAUAAUAAGAAAAUGUACACAUCGCCCG